ACUUUCAACAACGGAUCUCUUGGCUCUCGCAUCGAUGAAGAACGUAGCGAAGUGCGAUAAGUAAUGAGAAUUGCAGAAUACGUGAAUCAUCGAAUCUUUGAACGCAAAUUGCACUUUCUGGUAUUCCGGAGAGUAUGCCUGUUUGGGGUCAGU
rnacentral:rRNA from 1 species